rnacentral:snRNA from 1 species
AGGAGUUUGCUCUGUCCACUCCACACAUCGACCUGGUAUUGCAG